UCCCUGGUGGCUCAGACAGUAAAGAACCUGCCUGCAAUGCAGGAGACCCAGGUUCGAUCCCUGGGUAAGGAG
rnacentral:tRNA from 1 species